AGCUGCAGUCGAGGAUCUUUCGCAUGGGCGCAAGCCUGACGAAGCGACGCUGUGUGAGCGAUGAAGGCCUUCGGGUUGUAAAGCUCUUUCGCGCAGGAACAAGAGAAGUAUGAGAAUAACCUUUUGAUUUGAGGGUACUGCGUAAAGAAGCACCGGCUAACUC
rnacentral:rRNA from 1 species